rnacentral:rRNA from 1 species
AUGCUGCUGCGGCCGACGCCGCGGUUGUCGAAGCAGCAGACCUCGAUGCCCUCGCCGACGUCCUCCUCCUCCGGCGCCGUCGCCGUCGCCGGCGCGGCGGCCUCCUCGUCCGUCCUCGCGGCGGGCUCGGGCACGUCGCCGCCGUCCGCCGGCUCCAUGGACCCGGUCAGCCCCCUUAUCUGCGGGCCCCACGAGUCGUGCGUCCCCGCCAGACCUGAAGCGAAGAACCAUUUCUCAGAGAAGAGUUCCUCCGAACCAGAAAAAGGAUUGAAUUUUUCCACUGUAUCGAAUUGGCCGGGGGGCGGCGUGCUUACCGAUGACGAGGAGCACCUUGGUGGCGCCGCGGCCGUAGCGGCGGUAGAAGAGGCGGACGCCCUCCCACUUGUCGCCGGCCUGGUACCGGUCCACCUCGCAGUAAGGCAUUGCUUCGCCGGCCGCCUCUCCUCGCCUCUCGCCGCCACCGGGAUCGAUCGCCUGGCUCCUCUCCCUCUCUCUGCCAGGGAUUUAUGGAUUUAUUUAGCUUCUCGUUACUGGGGAACAGAACAGGUGGGUCGGGCUGGGUUGCCGAAUCGGGGGCCGAAUCGGAUUUAA